rnacentral:rRNA from 1 species
CCCAGACUCCUACGGGAGGCAGCAGUGGGGGAUAUUGCACAAUGGGGGGAACCCUGAUGCAGCGACGCCGCGUGGGUGAAGGAGUGCUUCGGCAUGUAAAGCCCUAUCGGCAGGGAAGAAGCAAGACGGUACCUGACUAAGAAGCCCCGGCUAACUACGUGCCAGCAGCCGCGGUAAUACGUAGGGGGCGAGCGUUAUCCGGAUUUACUGGGUGUAAAGGGGGCGCAGGCGGCACGGCAAGCCUGAUGUGAAAGCCCGCGGCCCAACCGCGGGACUGCAUUGGGAACUACCGGGCUGGAGUGCCGGAGAGGUAGGCGGAAUUCCUAGUGUAGCGGUGAAAUGCGUAGAUAUUAGGAGGAACACCAGUGGCGAAGGCGGCCUACUGGACGGUGACUGACGCUGAGGCUCGAAAGCGUGGGGAGCAAACAGGAUUAGAUACCCUAGUACG